GCAGUCGAGCGGAGUGAUGAGUGACUCUGUCGCUCUCUCUUAGCGGCGGACGGACGAGUGAUGCUUAGGAAUCUGCCAUUUAUUGGGGGACGACAUUCCGAAAGGAAUGCUAAUACCGUAUACGUUCUACUGUAUAAAGUAGGGGAUCUUCGGACCUUGCGCUAAAUGAUGGGCCUAAUUCGAAGUACCUAGGUGGUGGGGUAAAGGUCUACCAAGGCGACGAUCUGUAGGGGGCCUGAGAGGAUGAUCCGCCACACUGGGACUGACACACUGCCCCUACUCCUACGGCAGGACUCCUAGGGGAAUAUUGGACAAUGGGUGUUACCCUGAGCCAGCCAUGCCGCGGGAGUGAAGAAGGCCUUUUGAAUGAAAAUUUCUUUAAGCGAGGAUGAGGCUACUAGUACUAAUACUACUGGAUAGUGCUGGUUGCUCCUUGAAUAAACCCCGUUUAACUCUGUGCCAUAACUCGCGGCCAUACAGAGGGGGCAAGCGUUAAUCGGAUUUACUGGCCGUAAAUAUUGCGUAGGCGGCUGAUUAAGUCGGAUGCUAAAUCCCUGAGCUUAACUUACGAAUUGCAUUCGAUACUGGUCAUCUAGAGUAUGAGAGAGGAUGGUAGAAUUCCAUAGUGUAAUUCCGAAAUGCGUAGAGAUCUGCAGGAAUACCGAUGGCGAACAGCAGCCAUCUGGGCUAACUACUGACGCUGAGGCACGACACUGAUGGGGAGAAAACAGGAUUAGCAUACCACUGAUUAGAUCCUGCCGUAAACGAUGUCUACUACGCGGUGUGCUCUUUGAGACUUUAGUGGCGCAGCUAACGCGAUCAGUAAACCGACUGGGGAGUACGGCUCGCAAGACUAAAACUCAAGAGAGUUGAUCGGAGG
rnacentral:rRNA from 1 species